AACUUUCUUCGGGAAGCUAGAGCGGCGCACGGGUGAGUAACGCGUACAUGACCUGCCUUUAAGACCGGGAUAGCCCUGGGAAACUGGGAUUAAUACCGGAUGUGAUAAUAGAUAUAAAGAUUUAUUAUUAAAGUUGAGGCGCUUAGAGAUGGAUGUGCGUCUGAUUAGCUAGUUGGUAGGGUAACGGCCUACCAAGGCGACGAUCAGUAGGGGGCGUGAGAGCGUGGCCCCCCACACGGGUACUGAGACACGGACCCGACUCCUACGGGAGGCAGCAGUAAGGAAUAUUGGUCAAUGGACGAAAGUCUGAACCAGCCAUCCCGCGUGCAGGAUGAAGGUCCUAUGGAUUGUAAACUGCUUUUAGCAGAGAAGAAAAGCAUUCAUUUAUGAGUGUCUGACGGUAUCUGCGGAAUAAGCACCGGCUAACUCCGUGCCAGCAGCCGCGGUAAUACGGAGGGUGUAAGCGUUAUCCGGAAUCACUGGGUUUAAAGGGUGCGUAGGCGGAAUAUUAAGUCAGUGGUGAAAGCCUGUCGCUUAACGAUAGAACUGCCAUUGAUACUGAUAUUCUUGAAUUGGGUUGAGGUUAGCGGAAUGUGACAUGUAGCGGUGAAAUGCAUAGAUAUGUCAUGGAACACCAAUUGCGAAGGCAGCUAGCUGGGCCUUGAUUGACGCUGAGGCACGAAAGCGUGUGUAGCGAACAGGAUUAGAUACCCUGGUAGUCCACGCCCUAAACGAUGCUAACUCGAUGUUUGGACUUAAGGUUUGAGCAUCCAAGGGAAACCGAUAAGUUAGCCACCUGGGGAGUACGACCGCAAGGUUGAAACUCAAAGGAAUUGACGGGGGUCCGCACAAGCGGUGGAGCAUGUGGUUU
rnacentral:rRNA from 1 species